GGAAGUAAAAAUCGUAACAAGGUUUCCGUAGGUGAACCUGCGGAAGGAUCAUUACAACGUAUCCACGUAUCAACUAAAUGUGAACCUCCCAUCCGGAGCAAAACUUAGUGUGUCGUUAAUGGCCGAACUGUUAAAGCGGCGCUUUCCACAGAUGGAGAUGUUGGACCUAACCGUCUGACCUCUAGGAAGCGUCCGUUUGGUCGUCAGCUCUUUCAGAGUUGAGGCGUCCUUUUGCUUCAGAUGCGGUGUUAAUGUCCGCCCAUCUGCGGUCGAAAUUGUUUUACCCUUUUUCAUUAACCCUUUGUAACUUCACUUGAACUGAACUAUGUAACAUUGACUGCGCCUGUUCUUGUUGGCUUCGGUCACGGGCAGUAUUCCAAACGCGGGCUUGUUAUCACAUAUUACGAAACGCACGAACAACUCUUAACAACGGAUAUCUUGGUUCUC
rnacentral:misc_RNA from 1 species